GGCAGAUGUGGUCUGUGCGAGAUCACCAGGAACCAGGGUCAACGUGGCAGACGUCAGACCACCAGGAGCUGCCUCUGCAAGUGUGGCCGGACCACCGGCGGUCGGUGCAGAUGGAUCUCCGCAGGAACCUCCGGCACCCCCCGGAACGUCUCCUGCGCACAAAGGAGCAACAACAAAAGUCUCUGCAGGACCACUAGGAACUGCAGCAGGAACGACCUCCUCCUGGAGGCCGACAGGAACUGCAGCGGAAGCUGCAACAGGAACGACCCCCUCCCGGAGGCCGACGGGGACCCCAGCGGAAACGACAACAGGCGUGACCUCCUCCUGGAGGUCGGCGGGAAUCGCAGCAGACACUGCGACAAGCGCAACCUCCUCACUGGAGCCGGCAGUGCUGCUUGCAGCUGCCGAGCCCGGCUGGACUGGAUCCUGAACGUGACAAGGCUGGACUGGACUCUGAGCGUGACAAGGCUGAGCUGGAACCUGAGCGUGACAAGGCUGAGCUGGACCCUGAGCAGAGCACGACUGUACUGGGGCUGGAGCCUGAACGGAGCACGGCUGGGCUGGAAACUGAGCAGAGCACGGCUGGGCUGGAAACUGAGCAGAGCACGGCUGGGCUGGAAACUGAGCAGAGCACGGCUGGGCUGGAAACUGAGCAGAGCACGACUGAACUGGGGCUGGAAACUGAGCAGAGCACGACUGAACUGGGGCUGGAAACUGAGCAGAGCACGGCUGGGCUGGAAACUGAGCAGAGCCCGGCUGGACUGGAACCUGAGCGGGACACGGCUGGGCUGGAACCUGAGCGGGACACGGCUGGGCUGGAACCUGAGCGAGACACGACUGGGCUGGAACCUGAGCGGAACCCGACUGGACUGGAACCUGAGACAAACCCGACUGGACGGGAACCUGAGCGGGACACGACUGGACUGGAACCUGAGCCGAACCCGACUAGACUGGAGCGGAACAUGUCGGAGCAUCGGAGAUGCGACCAGGGCUAGCGUAAUCCGAGCGGACGGCGUGGGGGCUGGUGUGGUGCUGAGCGCGCUGUCUAACUCUCCGAGCUGCGCACACAUCCGCUCGUAG
ensembl:lncRNA